UUGAAGAACAAUCGCAUUCGACCUGACCCACGAAGCGCUGUUCUCUUUAAAGCUGUAGCAAAGGGCAUGGCUCUUUUCCCGGUGGCAUUUCUCACCCUGACCCCCACUGGACAGUUCCCCUCAAGCCCUGGGCCCAGGGUUCCUGGAAUUGCUGGGGAGGUGGAGGAGAGAGGAGUUCGUUCUAAAGCUGACACAGCACUUAAAGGACAACACGAUGCAACUUCACUUCAACAUCCACCUGUCAUUCUACCCGCAGCUGUGGACAGCCAUCCUGUUCAAGGUGCAGCCCCAGCCUCGCAGUGAAGGGUGCCACGUACACACGAAGUAACAUACACGCACCAACUUCUUUCCUUCCCGGCGCUGCUAUUCCACUGACAAGGUUUCUGAGAGAUGCCCCUGCACUUGUCUUCAGAAGUGUGAAACUUUCUGACACUAUUUCACCGGGUACAACAUGGAGGUUCUACAGAUGGGGCAUCCCUUCUCGAAACGCUUGGGACCAGAGUGUUUCAGACGUUUUGGGAUCUAGAAUAUUUGCAUAUAUACACUGAGAUAUCUUGGAGAUGAGACCCAAGGCAAACACCAAGUUCAUUUAUGUUUCCUGUCCAUCGUUAUGCAUUGUGUGAAGAGAAAGAGAGAAAGGAAAUCCGGGAAAGCAAGCC